ACUCCUACGGGAGGCAGCAGUGGGGAAUAUUGCACAAUGGGGGAAACCCUGAUGCAGCCAUGCCGCGUGUGUGAAGAAGGCCUUCGGUUGUAAAGCACUUUCAGUAGGGAGGAAGGUAGUGUAGUUAACACCUGCAUAUUUGACGUUACCUACAGAAGAAGCACCGGCUAACUCCGUGCCAGCAGCCGCGGUAAUACGGAGGGGUGCGAGCGUUAAUCGGAAUUACUGGGCGUAAAGCGCAUGCAGGCGGCCUGUUAAGUCAGAUGUGAAAGCCCGGGGCUUAACCUCGGAAUUGCAUUUGAAACUGGCAGGCUAGAGUCUUGUAGAGGGGGUAGGAA
rnacentral:rRNA from 1 species